rnacentral:rRNA from 1 species
GACGAACCGUGCGAACGUUGUUCGGAUUCACUGGGCUUAAAGGGCGCGUAGGCGGGUGUUCCAGUCUGGGGUGAAAUCCUCUCGCUCAACGAGAGAACUGCCCUGGAUACUGAACACCUCGAGGGAGGUAGGGGCAUGUGGAACUUCCGGUGGAGCGGUGAAAUGCGUAGAUAUCGGAAGGAACGCCGGUGGCGAAAGCGACGUGCUGGACCUUUCUGACGCUGAGGCGCGAAAGCCAGGGGAGCAAACGGG